AACGAACGCUGGCGGCAUGCCUAACACAUGCAAGUCGAACGAGACCUUCGGGUCUAGUGGCGCACGGGUGCGUAACGCGUGGGAACCUGCCCUUAGGUUCGGAAUAACUCCCCGAAAGGGGUGCUAAUACCGGAUAAUGUCUUCGGACCAAAGAUUUAUCGCCUUUGGAUGGGCCCGCGUUGGAUUAGCUAGUUGGUAGGGUAAAAGCCUACCAAGGCGACGAUCCAUAGCUGGUCUGAGAGGAUGAUCAGCCACACUGGGACUGAGACACGGCCCAGACUCCUACGGGAGGCAGCAGUGGGGAAUAUUGGACAAUGGGCGAAAGCCUGAUCCAGCAAUGCCGCGUGAGUGAUGAAGGCCUUAGGGUUGUAAAGCUCUUUACCCGGGAUGAUAAUGACAGUACCGGGAGAAUAAGCUCCGGCUAACUCCGUG
rnacentral:rRNA from 1 species